UUGGUGUGGUAAAGGCGCACCAAGGCGACGAUCCUUAGCUGGUYUGAGAGGAUGAUCCACWCUGGGACUGAKACACGGGCCACACUUCUACGGGAGGCAGCAGGGAAUAUUGGACAAUGGGCGAAAGCCUGAUCCAGCAAUGCCGCGUGGAUGAAGGCCUUACGGUUGUAAAGCUCUUUUACCCGGGAUGAUAAUGGUACCGGGAGAAUAAGCUCCGGCUAACUCCGUGCCAGCAGCCGCGGUAAUACGGAGGGAGCUAGCGUUAUUCGGAAUUACUGGGCGUAAAGCGCACGUAGGCGGCUUUGUAAGUUAGAAGGUGAAAGCCUGGAGCUCAACUCCAGAAUUGCCUUUAGACUGUAUYGCUUGAAUCCAGGAGAGGUGAGUGGAAAGUGUUAGGUGAAAUUU
rnacentral:rRNA from 1 species